AACGCACAUUGCGCCCCUUGGUAUUCCAUGGGGCAUGCCUGUUCGAGCGUCAUUUGUACCUUCAAGCUCUGCUUGGUGUUGGGUGUUUGUCCCGCCUUUGUGCGCGGACUCGCCUUAAAGCAAUUGGCAGCCGGCGUAUUAGUUUCGGAGCGCAGCACAAAUCGCGCUCUGUGUCUUUAUACGGUGGCGUCCAUCAAGACUAUUUUACACUCUUGACCUCGGAUCAGGUAGGGAUACCCGCUGAACUUAA
rnacentral:misc_RNA from 1 species